GGAUUGUAGCUCAGUGGUAGAGCACUUGUCUAGCAUGUGCACGGCCCUGGGUUUGAUACCCAGUACCA
rnacentral:tRNA from 1 species